rnacentral:rRNA from 1 species
GACGAACGCUGGCGGCGUGCCUAAUACAUGCAAGUCGAGCGGACUUUCAAGAAGCUUGCUUUUUGAAAGUUAGCGGCGGACGGGUGAGUAACACGUGGGCAACCUGCCUGCAAGACGGGGAUAACUCCGGGAAACCGGGGCUAAUACCGGAUAAUAUCUUCCUUCGCAUGAAGGAAGGUUGAAAGGCGGCGCAAGCUGCCGCUUGCAGAUGGGCCCGCGGCGCAUUAGCUAGUUGGUGAGGUAACGGCUCACCAAGGCGACGAUGCGAAGCCGACCUGAGAGGGUGAUCGGCCACACUGGGACUGAGACACGGCCCAGACUCCUACGGGAGGAAGCAGUAGGGAAUCUUCCGCAAUGGACGAAAGUCUGACGGAGCAACGCCGCGUGAGCGAAGAAGGUCUUCGGAUCGUAAAGCUCUGUUGUCAGGGAAGAACAAGUACCGUUCGAACAGGGCGGUACCUUGACGGUACCUGACCAGAAAGCCACGGCUAACUACGUG